rnacentral:rRNA from 1 species
GCUCCAAUAGCGUAUAUUUAAGUUGUUGCAGUUAAAAAGCUCGUAGUUGGAUUUCGGAGAGGUACUGCCGGUCUGCCGUUUCGGUACGCACUGGCAGCGCCUCUCUUGCUGCCGGAAACGGGCUCCUGAGCUUAAUUGCUCGGGACUCGGUGUCGGCGAGGUUACUUUGAGUAAAUUAGAGUGUUCAAAGCAGGCCUACG